rnacentral:rRNA from 1 species
GAUUAACGCUAGCGGCAGGCCUAAUACAUGCAAGUCGAACGGCAGCGGGUCCAGCAAUGGAUGCCGGCGAGUGGCGCACGGGUGCGUAACACGUAUGCAAUCUACCCUUAACUGGGGGAUAGCCCCGAGAAAUCGGGAUUAAUACCCCAUACUAUUGUGGAGAGGAGUCUCUCUGCAAUCAAAGCUCCGGCGGUUUUGGAUGAGCAUGCGCGACAUUAGCUAGUUGGUGAGGUAACGGCUCACCAAGGCAACGAUGUCUAGGGGUUCUGAGAGGAUUCACCCCCACACUGGUACUGAGACACGGACCAGACUCCUACGGGAGGCAGCAGUAAGGAAUAUUGGUCAAUGGACGCAAGUCUGAACCAGCCAUGCCGCGUGAAGGAAGACGGCCCUACGGGUUGUAAACUUCUUUUGUACGGGAAAAAACCUCCGGUCGUGAAUCGGAGCUGAUGGUACCGUAAGAAUAAGCAUCGGCUAACUCCGUGCCAGCAGCCGCAGUAACAC